AUUGAACGCUGGCGGCAUGCCUUACACAUGCAAGUCGAACGGCAGCACGGGAGCAAUCCUGGUGGCGAGUGGCGAACGGGUGAGUAAUAUAUCGGAACGUGCCCGGUCGUGGGGGAUAACGUAGCGAAAGCUACGCUAAUACCGCAUACGAUCUACGGAUGAAAGCGGGGGAUCGCAAGACCUCGCGCGAUUGGAGCGGCCGAUAUCAGAUUAGGUAGUUGGUGAGGUAAAGGCUCACCAAGCCGACGAUCUGUAGCUGGUCUGAGAGGACGACCAGCCACACUGGGACUGAGACACGGCCCAGACUCCUACGGGAGGCAGCAGUGGGGAAUUUUGGACAAUGGGCGCAAGCCUGAUCCAGCAAUGCCGCGUGCAGGAUGAAGGCCUUCGGUUGGUAAACGUUAGCUUUUGUUACGGUAACGAAA
rnacentral:rRNA from 1 species